rnacentral:rRNA from 1 species
UGAACGCUGGCGGCGUGCCUACUACAUGCAAGCCGAGCGAACGGACGAGAAGCUUGCUUCUCUGAUGUUAGCGGCGGACGGGUGAGUAACACGUGGAUAACCUACCUAUAAGACUGGGAUAACUUCGGGAAACCGGAGCUAAUACCGGAUAAUAUUUUGAACCGCAUGGUUCAAAAGUGAAAGACGGUCUUGCUGUCACUUAUAGAUGGAUCCGCGCUGCAUUAGCUAGUUGGUAAGGUAACGGCUUACCAAGGCAACGAUGCAUAGCCGACCUGAGAGGGUGAUCGGCCACACUGGAACUGAGACACGGUCCAGACUCCUACGGGAGGCAGCAGUAGGGAAUCUUCCGCAAUGGGCGAAAGCCUGACGGAGCAACGCCGCGUGAGUGAUGAAGGUCUUCGGAUCGUAAAACUCUGUUAUUAGGGAAGAACAUAUGUGUAAGUAACUGUGCACAUCUUGACGGUACCUAAUCAGAAAGCCACGGCUAACUACGUG